UUCUCCACCUACUUUUCUCUCUAAACCCUAACCGACACACAUCUUCAUCUCUUUCUUGAUUCCUCGGUUCAUCAAACAAAAUCAAUGAAAGUUUGUGCUACUUUUCACUCUGAUUCUUCAAUCUAAACCAAAGGUAUGUGAUCUUCCAUUAUUUUCAUAUUUUAUUAUUAACAUUGUCUUAAAUAUGUGUUUUGUUGUUUUUUAUUUAACAUAAGUUCUUUGGAUUUCGGUUCAUACGCUUCUCUGUUCAUCACCUAAAAACAUGAUCAUCGAUACAUGUAUUUUUUAUUGUAUUUGUGUAUAUGUUUUUUUAUGUAUUAUGUUAUAUUAAGAUUCAAGAUUAAACAAAAAUUCUGAAAUAUUUGGUUUUAUUAACAAUUAGGUUAGUUACCCGUAUAAUACGCGGUCUGAAAUAAUAUGUUAUGUAAAUAGAUGUUUUGAAUAAAACUACAUGGAGCAAAAUAAGAUUCAAAUCACAAAUCCUCUUUUGAAGAGCAAAAUAAGCAAUAUUUUCUUUUAUAAGACAAUAAUUACAUGAAUCCAAAUUUUCAGACAAAAACUCAAUACCAACUGUAACAUAAAUAACAUAGCCAACUAGUGAGGCCCAUGCAGAAUGAUGGACGAUCUUUUCUUUGCUAACCAUCUCUUCUAGCCAUAUAACCGCUUCAUAUGGUCUACCCAUCAAGCAAAGACUCCUAAUAACUCUACUAAAAGUAUAGUAUAUGUCUCCUUAGUAGAAACACAACUCACUUGCCUACCCAUUUUCUUCAAAAACACGAGAGCCCGCGUGGAUCUGCUGUCACGACAAAGACCUUUAAUUAACAUGUUAUAUAAUCUAACUGUUGGAACACAGUUGCCCUCCAUCAUAUCUUCUUUAAUAACCUUUUCGCCUCGUUAAUCAUACUUUGUUUGCAUAAAGCUAUCACUUUAGCUUCAUAAAUCAGCACUGUGGUUUAAACCCUUGGUCAUGCAUUUCUUGAACCACCCCUCUCUAAGAAUCUAAGACCAAAAUCCAUCACUUUCUAGAAAAGUCCUUAUAUCAAUACGCAUUUAUUUUUUUAAUCAAAUAAUUCAAUCAUGAAUGUCAAUACGAGCAAGUCAAGUAAGAAAGCGAUCCUAAUCGCAGUGGGUAUCUAUCUAGGUCUAAUCUAAAACUAAAAAAAUGAACCAAUUCCACUACUUACAUUCAUACCAGAUCUCAAACAUAUAACAAUUCACACUCAUCAAUACUCCAGUCGAUCAUCAAACAACAUACUCCAACGUUUAAUUGCAAACUAAAUCAACCAAAAUUUACCCUUUGCAGCAGUCAUUACAUCAAUAUACAGUCAUCAAUUUCUCUAAAUAAAAUAAAAUAAAAUAAACCAAUCACAAACGUCACUAUCCUAACAAAGAUAUAAAAAUAUAGAUAGAUUUAAGUUAAAAGUUAAACCUAACAUUUAUAAUGUAGUAUUUAAACAUAUUGAUGUUUUAUUGAAUCAGACAUUACAAAAUAAAGUAUUUGAGUUUUAUUUUAAAAAUGUUACCAAUUCAAAUGAAUCUAUUUUUACCACUUACAAAACUUAUUAAAAACGUUACAUGAACAAAUCCAAAUAAGUAAAUAAUUUUUGAAGAAUCAUCAAAUUUUGGGAUCAAGUUAUGUUAUUUUAUAGCGUUUUAUUAAAUUAACAAAUUGCUUCUAUUUAUGGAAUUCCAUUAAAUUGCUAAAUGAUAUUAAGCAAAACAAAUUAAUCAAGAUACUUUUUGUCUUUUAAGUUUAUUUAUUUAUUUGGUUACAUAUUUUUUAAAAUCAAUUACAAUCUCUUAAUCUAUUGUCAUGAUAGUUUUUUAGGAGUCAUGUUAAAGAUAACAAUAUUAAUCAAUUUUAAUUCGACAUAUUAUAAUAUAUGAUUUUUCAAUUCAAUCUAAUUUCCAUACUAUAAUUUAGUAACAUGUGGGUGCUAUAUGGUGUUGUUUUUUAUGCAUUGGGAGUUUUUCAAAAAUAAAGUUGAUUUUACAUUUCUAAACCAAAGGUUUUUAUUUUUGUAUUUCAAUCCAUUGAUUUUUUUUACUUUUAACACAAAGGUUUUCAUCUUAUUAAUUUUAACCACAACACUUUUCAUUUUCAACUUUUGUCCCCACACUUUUCAUCUUUAGCAAGUUUUUCGUUUUAAAUUUUGUGAGUUAACACGCCACAACGUGUGUGUGGGGUUCAACGUUUUUUUGUCUGGUUUUACUUUCUUUUUGUAAUUUUAUUUUUACAGGCUUUUGCGCUGUUGGUGGUCGCUGACAGUGUGUGGCAUUGGUGCAACUUGGCACGGUUUUACAAACGUUUUUAACGUAUUAAGUUUUUUACUAAUAGUUUGUUUUGAGUUUACCCCUGUACUUCCUUUACUUAGAAAAACUAACUUUUUACGUGCAUAUAUUUAUGUAUGUGUCGGUAUAAAAUCGAUUUGUUCUACAUAUCGACGUAAACUUUUUCUGGAAACGAGUCAGGUCAAAUACAAUAUAUAUUUUUUUUAAAAACAUUGUUAUGUGCAUAUUUUAUGUACGUUUUGGUAUAAAUUCGAGUUGGUCUACGAUUGGACGUUAAUUCUUUUGGGAAAUGAGUUAGGUCAAAUAUAUUAUGUUGCCGUUCUUAUUUUAUGGAUGUUUCGUAAAUUUUGUUUCCAACCGAGUUGAGUCAAAUUGUGGUUUCUUAUUUUUUUCAAAAGCUUUAAUUAAUCCCUUUUGAUUAAACGUGUCAGUUUUUCCUUUAUACCCGUUAUGUUUUCUAUGUAUGAGUUGGAUUACAUAUAAUACGUUAUGAUUAUACGAUAUAAACUCGAUUUACUUUACGUUUUGAUCCAAUCACAAUGCUUAUAUAGGUUACAUUGAGUUUAAUCGGAUACUUCGAAACACACAUUUUCAUAUGAUUAACGCAUCGCAUAACGUUUGAAUUAAUUCAUUCGAUGUUUACGAUGUACACGCGCCACAACGUGCGCGGCUCUUAUUGCUAGUUUAAUGUUAAAUAAGAAGCAUUAUGUAAAAUCUUUAUAUAUUUGAUAGAUUUUAUGUUAUAUUGUAUUUAAAUACGUAUAUGCACAAAUUAUUAUGUCUACAAACCACAUACAGAUUUUUGUCAUUUUCUUACCAGUACCGCUUUUAGUAACAUUGACGAUGCUUGGGAGAUAAUGGAGGUAACGUUAUUUCUUUUAAUUUUAAUUCAAUCUAUUUAUAAAUAAACCUAAUAGAAUUGUUUCUGAUGAUUAUAGCCAAAAUAUGUGAUUGUGUUGGGUACUGACAAGGCCAUUGAAAAAGGUUUUGGUUGGCACUAUAUGUGGUGCCCUGCAUGUACACUCGAGGUGGAAUUGGAUACAUUUGAAGUGUUUGCACCAGAUGGUUUUGUUGAUUUUAGGUUCUUUGAUGAAUAUGUGUGCUUUAAUAAGAAUUGUCAUGAACAGAUUCUUGAGCCUCUACCUGGGUUUAAGAUCAAGAUUCAAGUUGAGGACACCAGUGAUUUGAUAUUACUUAUCUUAUGUCAUUGUUCAGGCUUCUCAGAUUAUUAGAAAAUCUCCAAAGCAGUUGCUAGAAGAGAACACAUUGGUUGUAUGUAUUUUUUAAAUACAUUUACUUUUUUAUUUUUUACUUUAAUAAUAUUAAUUUAAAAUUUUAAUAUUUAACAGUUUAUUACAGUGUUUACAGGAAAGUGAUAGCAUGACAUCUUCAGAUUAACUAAACUCAUUGAUUGGAAAACUUUUUUGAUUUUAAGAUUGACGUUACCGACUAUAAUUUGAAACAUUUAGAUAAGUGUAUUGGAUUACCCAUAAAUCUGAUAAUGAAUCUAUUAUUUAAAAAUAAGUUUAAGAUUUGACAUGUAAUUAUAACAUUUCAAAGAAUUUAUAUAUAUCAUUUUAUUAAAAUAUUAUUUUUAUACUAAUUUGCAUUUCAAUGAUAACAAUCUAAACUUUUGUUUACGUAUUUACAGGAACAUAAACAUGAAUCUCUUAAACGAAAUCUUUAUGAAGUCUUUGACACUGAUUCCUUUUUAGCAUGCUCUUCAACCAAGCAUUGGAUUAGUGAUGAAAAAGACGACGUGGAUUUUACCUGAAGUUGCGGCUUUUAUGAUUCAAAAAAUUUAUAUAUUAUUUGUUUAAUUCACGUUAUUAAUAACAUUUUUCAUUCGUAUCAUUUUUAAAUUGUUUCGAA